UACAGAGGGUGCAAGCGUUGUUCGGAAUUAUUGGGCGUAAAGCGCGUGUAGGCGGCUUGGCAAGUCGGGUGUGAAAUCCCUCAGCUUAACUGAGGAAGUGCGCCCGAAACUGCUUUGCUUGAGUGCCGGAGAGGAUGGCGGAAUUCCCCAAGUAGAGGUGAAAUUCGUAGAUAUGGGGAGGAACACCGGUGGCGAAGGCGGCCAUCUGGACGGUAACUGACGCUGAGACGCGAAAGCGUGGGGGAGCAAACAGG
rnacentral:rRNA from 1 species